GUCCCAAAGUCAUGGUUAAGUGGGAAACGAUGUGGGAAGGCCCAGACAGCCAGGAUGUUGGCUUAGAAGCAGCCAUCAUUUAAAGAAAGCGUAAUAGCUCACUGGUCGAGUCGGCCUGCGCGGAAGAUGUAACGGGGCUAAACCAUGCACCGAAGCUGCGGCAGCGAACGUAUCACUUAAAGCGAUUCAGCGGGUUACGAUUGACGGAGCGAAGCGACGUCAAAGCGUAUACAAAGUCGAGUCGGUUUAAGGAUACGUUCGUUGGGUAGGGGAGCGUUCUGUAAGCCCGUGAAGGUGGCCUGUGAGGGUUGCUGGAGGUAUCAGAAGUGCGAAUGCUGACAUAAGUAACGAUAAAGCGGGUGAAAAGCCCGCUCGCCGGAAGACCAAGGGUUCCUGUCCAACGUUAAUCGGGGCAGGGUGAGUCGACCCCUAAGGCGAGGCCGAAAGGCGUAGUCGAUGGGAAACGGGUUAAUAUUCCCGUACUUGGUGUUACUGCGAAGGGGGGACGGAGAAGGCUAUGUUGGCCGGGCGACGGUUGUCCCGGUUUAAGCGUGUAGGUGUGUGUUCCAGGUAAAUCCGGUUCACUUUAACACUGAGGCGUGACGACGAGGCACUACGGUGCUGAAGCAACAAAUGCCCUGCUUCCAGGAAAAGCCUCUAAGCAUCAGGUAACAUCAAAUCGUACCCCAAACCGACACAGGUGGUCAGGUAGAGAAUACCAAGGCGCUUGAGAGAACUCGGGUGAAGGAACUAGGCAAAAUGGUGCCGUAACUUCGGGAGAAGGCACGCUGACACGUAGGUGAAGUGAUUUACUCAUGGAGCUGAAGUCAGUCGAAGAUACCAGCUGGCUGC
rnacentral:rRNA from 1 species